rnacentral:rRNA from 1 species
UGCAAGUCGAGGGGCAGCAUGACUUAGCAAUAGGUUGAUGGCGACCGGCGCACGGGUGAGUAACACGUAUCCAACCUGCCGAUGACUCGGGGAUAGCCUUUCGAAAGAAAGAUUAAUACCCGAUGGCAUAGUUUUCCCGCAUGGGAUAAUUAUUAAAGAAUUUCGGUUGUCGAUGGGGAUGCGUUCCAUUAGAUAGUAGGCGGGGUAACGGCCCACCUAGUCUUCGAUGGAUAGGGGUUCUGAGAGGAAGGUCCCCACAUUGGAACUGAGACACGGUCCAAACUCC